UACGUAGGGGGCAAGCGUUGUCCGGAAUCAUUGGGCGUAAAGAGCGUGUAGGCGGCCCGGUAAGUCGGGCGUGAAAUGCCGGGGCUCAACCCCGGGACUGCGUCCGAUACUUCCGAGCUGGAGGUAGGUAGGGGAGAUCGGAAUUCCUGGUGUAGCGGUGAAAUGCGUAGAUAUCGGAAGGAACACCAGUGGCGAAAGCGGCUUCCUGGUCCAGCACCGACGUUCAGGCACGAAAGCGUGGGGAGCAAACAGG
rnacentral:rRNA from 1 species